GUCCACGCCGUAAACGAUGGAUACUAGCUGUUGGGCGCAAGUUCAGUGGCUAAGCGAAAGUGAUAAGUAUCCCACCUGGGGAGUACGUUCGCAAGAAUGAAACUCAAAGGAAUUGACGGGGCCCGCACAAGCGGUGGAGCAUGUGGUUUAAUUCGAUGAUACGCGAGGAACCUUACCAAGGCUUAAAUGUAGAUUGACCGGUUUUGGAAACAGAUCUUUCGCAAGACAAUUUACAAGGUGCUGCAUGGUUGUCGU
rnacentral:rRNA from 1 species